UGUGUGUGUGUGUGUGUGUGUGUGUGUGUGUGUGUAGUGUGUUUGUCAGUGUGUGUGUGUGUGUGUAGUGUGUUUGUCAGUGUGUGUAGUGUGUUUGUCAGUGUGUGUGUAUUGUGUGUUUGUCAGUGUGUGUGUGUAGUGUGUGUUUGUCAGUGUGUGUGUGUAGUGUGUGUUUGUCAGUGUGUGUCUGCAGUGUGUGUGUGUAGUGUGUGUUUGUCAGUGUGAGUGUGUAGUGUGUGUUUGUCAGUGUGUGUGUGUGUAGUCUGUGUGUGCAGUGUGUGUUUGUCAGUGUUUGUGUGCAGUGUGUGUUUGUCAGUCUGUGUGUGCGUGUAGUGUAUGUUUGUCAGUUGUGUGUGUUUGUCAGUGUGUGUGUGUGUGUGUAGUGUGUUUGUCAGUGUGUGUAGUGUGUUUGUCAGUGUGUGUGUAGUGUGUGCUUGUCAGUGUGUGUGUGUAGUGUGUGUUUGUCAGUGUGUGUGUGUAGUGUGUGUUUGUCAGUGUGUGUCUGCAGUGUGUGUGUGUAGUGUGUGUUUGUCAGUGUGUGUUUGUCAGUGUGUGUGUGUAGUGUGUGUUUGUCAGUGUGAGUGUGUAGUGUGUGUUUGUCAGUGUGUGUGUGUGUAGUCUGUGUGUGCAGUGUGUGUUUGUCAGUGUGUGUGUGCAGUGUGUGUUUGUCAGUCUGUGUGUGCGUGUAGUGUAUGUUUGUCAGUGUGUGUGUGUGUGUGUGUGUGUGUGUGUGUGUGUGUGUGUGUGUGUGUGUGUGUGUGUGUGUGUGUGUGUUUUGUGUGUGUAGUGUAUGUUUGUCAGUGUGUGUGUGUGUGUAGUGUGUGUUUGUCAGUGUGUGUGUGCAGUGUGUGUCUGCAGUGUGUGUUUGUCCGUGUGCGGUGUGUGUGUGUGUUUGUCAGAAUGUGUAUGUAGUGUGUGUUUGUCAGUGUGUGUGUGUGUGUGUUUGUCAGUGUGUGUGUGUGUAGUGUGUGUUUGUCAGUGUGUGUGUGUGUGUGUGUGUGUGUGUGUGUGUGUUGUGUGUUGGUCAGUGUGUGUGUGUGUAGUGUGUGUUUGUCAGUGUGUGUUUGUCAGUGUGUGUGUGUGUGUGUGUGUAGUGUGUGUUUGUCAGUGUGUGUGUGUAGUGUGUGUUUGUCAGUGUGUGUUUGUCAGUGUGUGUGUGUGUGUGUGUGUGUGUGUGUGUGUGUGUGUAGUGUGUGUUUGUCAGUGUGUGUUUGUCAGUGUGUGUGUGUGUGUGUGUGUGUGUGUGUGUGUGUGUGUGUGUGUGUGUGUGUGUGUGUGUGUGCAGUGUGUGUUUGUCAGUGUGUGUAUGUAAUGUGUGUUUGUCAGUGUGUGUGUGUUUGUAGAGAAAGAGGAAGUGUCUACUAGAACCACCACAGAGAGAACAGACUGAGGACAGACCUUAUUGAAGGUACUGUAACAGGAGUAGUGUAGGGUGUAGUGAAGGUACUGUAACAGGAGUAGUGUAGGGUGUUGUGAAGGUACUGUAACAGGAGUAGUGUAGGAUGUAGUGAAGGUACUGUAACAGGAGUAGUGUAGGGUGUUGUGAAGGUGCUGUAACAGGAGUUGUGUAGUGAAGGUACUGUGACAGGAGUAGUGUAGGGUAUAGUGAAAGUACUGUAACAGGAUUAGUGUAGGGUGUAGUGAAGGUACUGUAACAGGAGUAGUGUAGGGUGUAGUGAAGGUACUGUAACAGGAGUAGUGUAGGGUGUUGUGAAGGUACUGUAACAGGAGUAGUGUAGGGUGUAGUGAAGGUACUGUAACAGGAGUAGUGUAGGGUGUUGUGAAGGUGCUGUAACAGGAGUUGUGUAGUGAAGGUACUGUGACAGGAGUAGUGUAGGGUGUAGUGAAAGUACUGUAACAGGAUUAGUGUAGGGCGUAGUGAAAGUACUGUAACAGGAUUAGUGUAGGGUGUAGUGAAGGUACUGUAACAGGAGUAGUGUAGGGUGUAGUGAAGGUGCUGCAACAGGAGUAGUGUAGGGUGUAGUGAAGGUACUGUGACAGGAGUAGUGUAGGGUGUAGUGAAGGUACUGUAACAGGAGCAGUGUAGGGUGUAGUGAAGGUACUGUAACAGAAGUAGUGAAGAUACUGUAACAGGAGUAGGUUAGGGUGUAGUGAAGGUACUGUAACAGGAGUAUUGUAGGGUGUAGUGAAGGUACUGUAACAGGAGUAGUGUAGGGUGUAGUGAAGGUACUGUAACAGGAGUAGUGUAGGGUGUAGUGAAGGUACUGUAACAGGAGUAGUGUAGGGUGUAGUGAAAGUACUGUGACAGGGGUAGUGUAGGGUGUAGUGAAGGUACUGUAACAGGAGUAGUGUAGGGUGUAGUGAAGGUACUGUUACAGGAGUAGUGUAGGGUGUAGUGAAAGUACUGUGACAGGGGUAGUGUAGGGUGUAGUGAAGGUACUGUAACAGGAGUAGUGUAGGGUGUAGUGAAGGUACUGUUACAAGAGUAAGAUUAGUGGUGCCAGCCUUUUUCGUUGGUAACCAACCUUCGUUGUGUUUUUACUGUAGCAAGGCAAACUUAAUUUUGUAGUGAGGUAGCCUUGCUUCUAUCGGACGGUACCUUCCCUCCCAUAUGCCGCUGAAAGGGUGAGCCUUUGAAAAUCAUCUGUAUCCACCUGUUUGUCAGUCAUUUUGAGACGAAGUUUCAUGAAAACCUUGAUUUUAUCCUCCGUGGACUGAUAGUUGUAGUUUUCAUCCUCCUUUAUUUUCAGUAUGAGAAUAUAAUUCUUCAUACGUCUGCACUUCUGAUCAAGUCAUUCCACUUUCAUUGUUUUAUGAUCAUACCGUAGCCUCUCUGUAGUGGAGGUCAGGGAGUCCACAGUCAUUUCAAUAUCUUAUUUUAGGCUCCUAUUUCAUCAUUUUAUUG
rnacentral:lncRNA from 1 species